rnacentral:rRNA from 1 species
GAUGAACGCUGGCGGCGUGCCUAAUACAUGCAAGUCGAGCGAACAGACGAGGAGCUUGCUCCUCUGACGUUAGCGGCGGACGGGUGAGUAACACGUGGAUAACCUACCUAUAAGACUGGGAUAACUUCGGGAAACCGGAGCUAAUACCGGAUAAUAUAUUGAACCGCAUGGUUCAAUAGUGAAAGACGGUUUUGCUGUCACUUAUAGAUGGAUCCGCGCCGCAUUAGCUAGUUGGUAAGGUAACGGCUUACCAAGGCAACGAUGCGUAGCCGACCUGAGAGGGUGACCGGCCACACUGGAACUGAGACACGGUCCAGACUCCUACGGGAGGCAGCAGUAGGGAAUUUUCCGCAAUGGGCGAAAGCCUGACGGAGCAACGCCGCGUGAGUGAUGAAGGUCUUCGGAUCGUAAAACUCUGUUAUUAGGGAAGAACAAAUGUGUAAGUAACUAUGCACGUCUUGACGGUACCUAAUCAGAAAGCCACGGCUAACUACGUG